rnacentral:rRNA from 1 species
UGGGGAAUUUUGGACAAUGGGCGCAAGCCUGAUCCAGCCAUGCCGCGUGUCUGAAGAAGGCCUUCGGGUUGUAAAGGACUUUUGUCAGGGAAGAAAAGGCUGUUGCUAAUACCGACAGUUGAUGACGGUACCUGAAGAAUAAGCACCGGCUAACUACGUGCCAGCAGCCGCGGUAAUACGUAGGGUGCGAGCGUUAAUCGGAAUUACUGGGCGUAAAGCGAGCGCAGACGGUUACUUAAGCAGGAUGUGAAAUCCCCGGGCUCAACCUGGGAACUGCGUUCUGAACUGGGUGACUAGAGUGUGUCAGAGGAAGGUAGAAUUCCACGUGUAGCAGUGAAAUGCGUAGAGAUGUGGAGGAAUACCGAUGGCGAAGGCAGCCUCCUGGGAUAACACUGACGUUCAUGCUCGAAAGCGUGGGUAGCAAACAGGAUUAGAUACCCUGGUAGUCCACGCCCUAAACGAUGUCAAUUAGCUGUUGGGCAACUUGAUUGCUUAGUAGCGUAGCUAACGCGUGAAAUUGACCGCCUGGGGAGUACGGUCGCAAGAUUA